AACGAACGCUGGCGGCAGGCUUAACACAUGCAAGUCGAGCGCCCCGCAAGGGGAGCGGCAGACGGGAGAGUAACACGUGGGAACGUACCCUUCAGUUCGGAACAACCCAGGGAAACUUGGGCUAAUACCGGAUACGUCCGAAAGGAGAAAGAUUUAUCGCUGAAGGAUCGGCCCGCGUCUGAUUAGCUAGUUGGUGAGGUAACGGCUCACCAAGGCGACGAUCAGUAGCUGGUCUGAGAGGAUGAUCAGCCUCAUUGGGACUGAGACACGGCCCAAACUCCUACGGGAGGCAGCAGUGGGGAACAUUGGACAAUGGGCGCAAGCCUGAUCCAGCCAUGCCGCGUGGGUGAUGAAGGCCCUAGGGUUGUAAAGCCCUUUCGGCGGGGAAGAUAAUGACGGUACCCGCAGAAGAAGCCCCGGCUAACUUCGUGCCAGCCGCCGCGGUAA
rnacentral:rRNA from 1 species